rnacentral:lncRNA from 1 species
AUAGAGACCUGGGGUGGGAGCGCAGGAGCACAGCUGUGGGGUGACAGCGUCAGUGCGUAGGGUCAUAACGUUCCAUUUUAAGUAAGCCGAGGGAAGCUACUGUCCCAGGCUGCAGUGGAGUAAAGAGGAGAUGACCAACCAGAGCCUGGAAAGGCAUUUGGAGGUUGGAGGAUGCUGUAGUGAAGCUGAUAAGGAUUGCGGUAUUAACCUAGGAAGGAAGUAGGGGGCGGCUAUUCAGGACAAAAGAUCGAGGGGCACAGAGAAGUGGCUGUGGACUCGGGGUCAGGCGGCAGAAAGCAGCUGGUGCAGUCUGAGUCUGCUCAGGAGGACAGGGCUGAAAUGAAGACGGUUAGUGGUGACUGGGGUAAAGGAAGUUGAUGAGUUAACAUUGGCGGUUUACGCUAUCGGCGCAAAUUCGACACUGGAGCUGGGAAGAGGUGUAGGAAGGAGGGUGAAAUAAGUUCUGUAUCAGAGAAGAGAGGCUUUUUACAACAAGAGGGUCUUAACAAGGAAGAUCACGUUAGAUAAGGUAGAGGGGCUGGGAGGCGGCUCAGGUGUAAAGUCUUUGUCGUCCCUAGCAUCUGAGCGUGCAGUCCCUGCACUUUUAUGAGCCCUCUAGGGGGCGCUAUAACCUCAGCAUAAGGAGAAGGACUGGGUAGUGCUCUAGACACGGCUGACGGCUGCACUCAUGUACUGUGAACAGGAGGGGUUUGGCUGUGGUUGCUUGCACAAGACCUGCACAAGACCACACCGAUCAAUGUUCAGGAAAUCACACUGAGUGACUUGAAUUCAUCUAGCAUUCCAGGGAAAAAUCCAAUUGGUCAUUGUGGUGUUUAAUCUUUAUUGUCAACUUGAUAGAUUUUGAGUUGCCAUGGAACAAACCUCUGAGCAUAUCUAUGAGAAACUUCUACAUUAGGCUAAUCGAGAUGGGAAGACUCAUCUUAAAUGU